rnacentral:rRNA from 1 species
UACGGGGGGGGCAAGCGUUGUUCGGAAUUACUGGGCGUAAAGGGCUCGUAGGCGGCCCACUAAGUCAGACGUGAAAUCCCUCGGCUUAACCGGGGAACUGCAUCUGAUACUGGAUGGCUUGAGUUUGGGAGAGGGAUGCGGAAUUCCAGGUGUAGCGGUGAAAUGCGUAGAUAUCUGGAGGAACACCGGUGGCGAAGGCGGCAUCCUGGACCAACACUGACGCUGAGGAGCGAAAGCCAGGGGAGCAAACGGG